AGAUUGAACGCUGGCGGCAUGCCUUACACAUGCAAGUCGAACGGUAACGCGGGGCAACCUGGCGACGAGUGGCGAACGGGUGAGUAAUGCAUCGGAACGUGCCCAGUAGUGGGGGAUAGCUCGGCGAAAGCCGGAUUAAUACCGCAUACGACCUAAGGGUGAAAGCGGGGGACCGUAAGGCCUCGCGCUAUUGGAGCGGCCGAUGUCAGAUUAGGUUGUUGGUGGGGUAAAAAGCCUACCAAGCCGACGAUCUGUAGCUGGUCUGAGAGGACGACCAGCCACACUGGGACUGAGACACGGCCCAGACUCCUACGGGAGGCAGCAGUGGGGAAUUUGGACAAUGGGGGCAACCCUGAUCCAGCCAUGCCGCGUGCGGGAAGAAGGCCUUCGGGUUGUAAACCGCUUUGUCAGGAAGAAACGCUCUGGUUAAUACCGUCGGGUAAUGACGGUACCUGAAGAAUAAGACACCGGCUAACUACGUGCCAGCAGCCGC
rnacentral:rRNA from 1 species